rnacentral:rRNA from 1 species
AUUAUUCCGGUUGAUCCUGCCGGAGGUCAUUGCUAUUGGAGUCCGAUUUAGCCAUGCUAGUUGCACGAGUUCAGACUCGUAGCAGAUAGCUCAGUAACACGUGGCCAAACUACCCUAUGGAUCCGAAUAACCUCGGGAAACUGAGGCUAAUGCGGAAUACCGCUCGCUGCCUGGAAGUGGCGCGAGCGCGAAACGUUCAGGCGCCAUAGGAUGUGGCUGCGGCCGAUUAGGUAGACGGUGGGGUAACGGCCCACCGUGCCGAUAAUCGGUACGGGUUGUGAGAGCAAGAGCCCGGAGACGGUAUCUGAGACAAGAUACCGGGCCCUACGGGGCGCAGCAGGCGCGAAACCUUUACACUGCACGCGAGUGCGAUAAGGGGACUCCGAGUGCGAGGGCAUAUAGUCCUCGCUUUUCACCACCGUAAGGUGGUGGUGGAAUAAGUGCUGGGCAAGACCGGUGCCAGCCGCCGCGGUAAUACCGGCAGCACGAGUGAUGACCGCUAUUAUUGGGCCUAAAGCGUCCGUAGCUGGCCGCGCAAGUCUAUCGGGAAAUCUGCGUGCUUAACGCGCAGGCGUCCGGUGGAAACUGUGUGGCUUGGGACCGGAAGAUCCAGAGGGUACGUCUGGGGUAGGAGUGAAAUCCCGUAAUCCUGGACGGACCGCCGGUGGCGAAAGCGCUCUGGAAGGACGGAUCCGACGGUGAGGGACGAAAGCUCGGGUCACGAACCGGAUUAGAUACCCGGGUAGUCCGAGCUGUAAACGAUGUCUGCUAGGUGUGACACUGGCUACGAGCCAGUGUUGUGCCGUAGGGAAGCCGUGAAGCAGACCGCCUGGGAAGUACGUCCGCAAGGAUGAAACUUAAAGGAAUUGGCGGGGGAGCACUACAACCGGAGGAGCCUGCGGUUUAAUUGGACUCAACGCCGGACAUCUCACCAGCAUCGACAACGUGCCGUGAAGGUCAGUGUGAUGAGCUUACUGGAG